rnacentral:sRNA from 1 species
CCAGCUUGCUAACUCCUAGUCCAGCAUACCCCACCGCACCUACGAUCGCAGGGUAUCGAAAACAAAUGGCAAUUGUAAUAGUAAGAGCGUUUAAUGCAUUUGGCGAGGAAAUUACGCGACUUCGUAUAGAGUUGUUUGGAGCCGCCGCACACCUGCGUGCCAAAUCGCAUGGCUCCAAUAUAUCGGUGACAAAUCCGAGCAUCGCCGAGCGCCAGAUGAAUGCCCAAGAUGGAAGCCGAAUGGCACUGGAUGGUUGCAGGGCAGCCGGAAUUACCAUAAUGAUCUCAAUAUUUGCUCAACUUUAUCACGACGACCAUUUAAUUGCAGCGCGCUAAUCGCGGCCCCAUCGCCUCAGUCUCAGCCUCCCAGCAUCUCAACAUCUCCACAUCUCAGCACAAUUAGACACGCGAGUGGCGGCAGCAGGGCGUAUGAGUAAUGCGGGCGCAGUGCAGCGAUUCUAUCGCCCGGCCUUCAUCUGGACCUCCAUCUGCGGCAUCUGAACCACCACCCUCCUCCACUUGGCGUCACUUAUUUUGGGCACCACUAACCGGAGCAUUUGUGGCACUGGGCGAGGCAAUUACUCACGGCAAGGGCAGCUCCGUCAACAGAUUUGGCAGCUGCUCCACUCCGGGGAGGCGGCGGACAAGUGGGCGGCACCAGCGGUGGCAACAGGGGCGGCGCAAAGGGUAUCCUUCAUAGGGAUAUAUGCUAUAAUCAAGGGAGUAGUAUAGCUCCCUACUCUAAAUCAUCAUCCCCCCUUUGGACAACGCCACUGUGUGGCAAGUUGCAACAAAUUAGCUGCGAAACGGGCGCGUGAGAAAAACAAAGUUGUGCGGUCGCAGGUCUUAAAAAUAGUUCGCAAAACGUGACGUGACAUUGGGGAUUACCAAGGAGCACCAAACUGGUCGGAUUGACUCAUUUUAAUGAGCCGAGUGGGCGGAGUGGUGCGAAGUGAGCCCACAAAUUUGGCCUUCUUGGCUCCGAUAAGUAUGCUAUAAAAUCUUGCAGCACUAAAUCGCUAACUAUAGGCAAAUUGAAUUAUUUAGGUUAAAUUAUACCCAAAUUUUAAGCACUAAUAUCUGAACGGAAACCAAUAAUGCUACAAAAUAAUGUUCCGAAUACAAUGUACGCUUAAAAAGUCACGUCUUCAUUUUAGAGUGAUUUCAGCAGUGCCCUUCUUAUCAAAGUUCAAGUUGAAGUACCAGUGCAAUGGUAUAUGGUAUAUAUAUAUAUAUAUAUAUAUUCCUCGAUUAUAGCUAGCUAGUUGGAUUUUUUAUGAUACCCACACCUAACCAUCUGAACUGUCCUCGCAAAACUGUAAAAAGCAGCUGCGCCAACUGCAAACUGCGAGUAAUAAACAAAGACUUGCGUUUGCAUUGUUGCAAUUAUCGUUUGGCCAUGGGAAACAUUUGCCAAAACAGAUGCCAUUUGGCCAUUAAAUAUAUAUAUGUAUAUAUCCGAUUGAUCAGAUGUGGGCAUCCAUUUGGGCCAUUUGAAUUUCCACUUACCUGUUGCGUUAGCAUUGCGAUUUCCGAAGAGAAGAACAUGGUUAUUAUUUCAAAAUUUAUUUUACUGAUGAUUAGUACUAAAUAAUUUAGUUUUCUUGUAAUUUAGCAUUACCACUUUCAAUUGAUUUUUGGUUUUUUCUUGUUUUCUCUUUUGCAGUCUUAAAAAUUUGUCUAAACAAUACAUUUUCCAUGUUGCUUCAAUUUCUUGUUUAUUUUUCAAUGGUUUCUUUGAAUAGUUCGUUACGCUAAUGUUAAAUUUGCUGAGAGAAUUUGCUAUAAGAAAAUGAAUGCCAAUAAGUGUGGUUGGUGGCGGGGGCGGAACGCGGGGUAGGCGGGGCAUAUCGGAAUCGAGUUGCAUUAAUUACAAAUAUACAUAUGUAUGUGUGGCGUUUGCUCCAAAUGCAAACAGACGCGGCGACAACAAUGAGAUUUCAAAAAGUCAACAUUUUCACAUCGUAUUUCCUCGCUGCGGUUAUUAGUUUCGUUUGUAUUUCAAAAAUAUAUUAUGGAAAAAUUGUACACUGAUAUUGAGGUAUUGGAAAAAAUCGGCAUAUAUGUUAGGUAUAUGUAUAUCUGAAUCUGCACUUGCAUCUGCAUCUGUAUCUGUAUCUAAGUGUAUGUACAGGACAUCCAAAAGUGUAAGAUUACGCUAGGUAACGCUACUAGUUCGACAUGCAAAAAUGGCCUUGCGCUUGGUGCUGUUCUUACUGGGUAAAAAUCGAGGAGUGUCCAACGGAAAGUGGCCAGCAGCCGCAGCGAGCCGGGAGGACAUCGAUCCCUGAUCGUUCCUAUUUAUGGCAACGUAGGACAUCUAUGUAUAUAACAAGUGCAAUUCUACUACAAAUGUAUCGCUGAAAGGCUUUAAAAUUGUUUCCUUCUAUAAUUGCUUGCGGUUCUCGAUUUCGGUUGUUUCUAUUUGGUUGGUUCUAUAUACUUUUCGAUUCCCUUUAUUAUGCACUAUAUAAAAAUAUCUGCUAUUAUUUAUGUAUUAAAAUUCACAAUUUUGGUUACGCUCCAUUCGCAAAAAUACGUUUAGUUUAGAUUCCUAGAUAUUCACUGUCCCUCGAAAAUCGCGUGGAUUGGCAUCCAGCAAGUUUUAGCCUUUGGAAAGGGGCGACUAAAAUGGGUUUUGAAAUCAGACACACGCACAUCCAUAUCCAUUCGCUCAUUGAUAGUGGGAUUGGAAAAGGACCUCGUAUCCACUCGCUGAUAUCGAUUGAGUCCCCGACUCU